CUACGGGGUGCAGCAGUGGGGAAUAUUGCACAAUGGGCGCAAGCCUGAUGCAGCAACGCCGCGUGAAUGAAGAAGGUCUUCGGAUCGUAAAGUUCUUUUCUUAGGGAAGAAAAAUGACGGUACCUAAGGAAUAAGCACCAGCUAAAUACGUGCCAGCAGCCGCGGUAAUACGUAUGGUGCAAGCGUUAUCCGGAAUCACUGGGCGUAAAGGGAGCGUAGGCGGUUUUGCAAGUCAGAAGUGAAAGGCUACGGCUCAACCGUGGUAAGCUUUUGAAACUGCAAGACUAGAGUGCAGGAGAGGCAAGUGGAAUUCCUAGUGUAGAGGUGAAAUUCGUAGAUAUUAGGAGGAACACCAGUGGCGAAGGCGACUUGCUGGACUGUAACUGACGCUGAGGCUCGAAAGCGUGGGGAGCGAACAGGAUUAGAUACCCGAGUAGUC
rnacentral:rRNA from 1 species